rnacentral:sRNA from 1 species
GCUGGGCGUGGUGGUGCAUGUCUGUAAUCUCAGUGACUUGAGAGGCUAAGGCAGGAGGAUUGCAAAUUUGAGGCCAGCCUCAGCAAUUUAAUGAGACUCUGCCUCAA